rnacentral:rRNA from 1 species
AUUGAACGCUGGCGGCAGGCUUAACACAUGCAAGUCGAACGAGUGGCAGACGGGUGAGUAAUGCUUGGGAAUCUAGCAAAUGGAGGGGGAUAACUACGGGAAACUGUAGCUAAUACCGCGUACCAUAGGAUGAGCCCAAGUGGGAUUAGGUAGUUGGUGAGGUAAAGGCUCACCAAGCCGACGAUCUCUAGCGGGUCUGAUAGGAUAACCAGCAACCCUGGGUCUGCGACACGGCCCAGACUCCUACGGGGGGCAGCCGUGGUGAAUAGUGCGCAAUGGUGGCAACCUGACGCUGCCAUGCCGCGUGAAUGAAGAAGGCCGUCGGGUUGUAAAGUUCUUUCGGUAGCGAGGCGUUAACUACAGAAUAAGCACCGGCUAACUCCGUGCCAGCAGCCGCGGUAAUAC